rnacentral:misc_RNA from 1 species
CACAUCCAGAGCUAUCUGAAUAAAAAGGUUGAUGAACUCCCAAUAACCUGGGGGCUUUGGGUUGAGAAACAGAGGCCUCAAAGCAUAGAAGAAGAGUUGGAAGAUAACCCAUACAGAUUUUGUGACAACAUUCGUCACAAGAUGGCCUUCAACACUGCUUGGGAUAUCCAUAUCAAUCCCAUCUACUCCUUGGAAGCGAUGGUGUUCAAGAUGAUACUUCUGGAAGGUUACAGACAUGGGUAUACCAAUUGGUAGGUUAGCAAAAAUCCCAAGCCAACGGUUGUAAACAGGAAUUGAGAAAGCAAGAUUGUGACUGAGCUCAUGUAUGGCUAAGAAAAGAUUGUGG